AGACGGUCCACAGACGACUCAACAAGCACCGUCCGCACACUUCGCGUUUACAAAAAAAAAAAGUAAUUCGAUAACUCGCAACCCGAAAACCGAUCGACAUCAUCAGAAUGACAUCGCCGAUCCUGAGAGUUUUGUUCGUUUGCGCAGUAGUCGCCAUGUUGGUGUGCACGGCCUUAUCGCUGCCGACGACCGCGCAACAACAGCAAGAAGACGGAUCUACGACCGGAAGUUUCGGCUCGGUCCUGUGGUCCGUACUGGACGGCUGUUUCGACGGGGAUUCGACCGAACCGGCCGCGGUGUGUCUCAAGUCGAAAGCGCUUACCGCGCUGGACCGGGCGAUCGCCAAGCCCACCGUGGCCGUCGCGAACGGAGUAUCGCUGAGUUCCCGGGCGGGCAGGUCUCUGCAGAUCGACGCGUCGGCCGAGGAAGCCGACCGUGCCGCCCUGCUGGCCGCCAAGGACCCGGACCACAAGAACGCUCUGUUGGACGAUAUGUUGGCCAGCCGGCUGGACACGCUGGUGUCCACGAAGACGAUCGUUCUGGACGGAUCGGCCGUACAAGAAGGUGAGAGUUUCGUACCAGUCAAACGCACAACGUAAUUAAUAUAGAUGGGCGGACGACCUUUUUGAGCAUUGUUCACCAGUGGCGAGUUAAGAUAUUUUAUUUGGUGGUUUCAAGUUGUUUAAAGUAAUAUACCCAUUCCACUUAAACUCACCCCGCAAGUACAACCAAUAAAAACGUUUUUUUUUUUUUUUUUUUUUUAAUGAUUUUAUGUAUCUCUAAUUUUGGUUAUAUUUGAAAAAAAACUAUACCGAAAAGUAUAAUAUUGUAAUGCACGCGAUCUAAGAUUAUGAACAACUAUAACUUAAUUAUAAUCGGGUUUUGUUUCUGAUAAUUAUAGAAUAAAGGCCUAUGCCUUUAACCUAUUGGCCAUAUACAAUUGAAUCAUUCGAUUUUCGCGCGAACUUAAUUAACGGGAUUUUUUCAAUAUUUGAACAAUUCGAUUUGCACCCACCCGAAAACUGUAUUCCAGCCGCCUUUGUUUUUCAUGAUUUCAUUUUUCGUUUAGAUUAAGGAAUCUAAAGUAUUGCGUGUGCCGCCGACUAUCUAAUAAUAAUAUUUAUUUUGUCUGUUUUUCCCACGUCAGGCCGUGGUAAGAAGAAACAAAUGAAGGCCAUGCAACAAGCGAUAAUGAUGGCCGGCAUGAUGGCCAUUGCCGUUUUGGGACCGAUGGCGCUCAAGUUCAUCGCCUUGUUGGCCGGCAAGGCCCUGUUGUUCAGUAAAAUCGCCUUGCUCCUGGCCGGUAUUAUGUCACUCAAGAAGAUUUUCCAGCCGCAACAAAGUAGUCCCUCAGCAGUGGAAAAAACGCACCAUUAUUACGACUACAACGUACAGGACGUCGACGCACACAACUGGGCGUACUCGGGCCAAAAACAAUAGAUUGACACCUCCACAAAAACACGACCAUCUAAUUUAUUUGUUAUGUAUUUAUUCGUCGGAUUCGUGCAUGUAAACAAUUUAAAAAUGUAUUUUAUACAAAUAGUUUACUAACUAAAUGUUGAACUCUUGCAGUAUUUUCGUUUUGAAAUCGUUAUGUAUACUGCAAUAAUAUUUCAAUAAUUGAUUACACUCC
rnacentral:lncRNA from 1 species